rnacentral:miRNA from 1 species
CCCCAGAUGUUGCUGAGCUACAACUCCCAUGAUUCUUUGAAUUGCAUAGCCAGAGAAUCAUGGGAGUUGUAGUUCAGCAACAUCUGGGG